UACGAAGGGGGCUAGCGUUGCUCGGAAUCACUGGGCGUAAAGCGCACGUAGGCGGAUUGCUAAGUCAGGGGUGAAAUCCUGGAGCUCAACUCCCAGAACUGCCUUUGAUACUGGUGAUCUUGAGUCCGGGAGAGGUGAGUGGAACUGCGAGUGUAGAGGUGAAAUUCGUAGAUAUUCGCAAGAACACCAGUGGCGAAGGCGGCUCACUGGCCCGGUACUGACGGCUGAGGUGCGAAAGCG
rnacentral:rRNA from 1 species